rnacentral:rRNA from 1 species
AGACCCGAAACCCGGUGAUCUAGCCAUGGGCAGGUUGAAGGUUGGGUAACACUAACUGGAGGACCGAACCGACUAAUGUUGAAAAAUUAGCGGAUGACCUGUGGCUGGGGGUGAAAGGCCAAUCAAACCGGGAGAUAGCUGGUUCUCCCCGAAAGCUAUUUAGGUAGCGCCUCGUGAAUUCAUCUCCGGGGGUAGAGCACUGUUUCGGCCAGGGGGCCAUCCCGGCUUACCAAUCCGAUGCAAACUGCGAAUACCGGAGAAUGUUAUCACGGGAGACACACGGCGGGUGCUAACGUCCGUCGUGAAGAGGGAAACAACCCAGACCGCCAGCUAAGGUCCCAAAGUCAUGGUUAAGUGGGAAACGAUGUGGGAAGGCCCAGACAGCCAGGAUGUUGGCUUAGAAGCAGCCAUCAUUUAAAGAAAGCGUAAUAGCUCACUGGUCGAGUCGGCCUGCGCGGAAGAUGUAACGGGGCUAAACCAUGCACCGAAGCUGCGGCAGCGACACUGAUGUGUUGUUGGGUAGGGGAGCGUUCUGUAAGCCGUUGAAGGUGUGUCGUGAGGCAUGCUGGAGGUAUCAGAAGUGCGAAUGCUGACAUAAGUAACGAUAAAGCGGGUGAAAAGCCCGCUCGCCGGAAGACCAAGGGUUCCUGUCCAACGUUAAUCGGGGCAGGGUGAGUCGACCCCUAAGGCGAGGCCGAAAGGCGUAGUCGAUGGGAAACGGGUUAAUAUUCCCGUACUUGGUGUUACUGCGAAGGGGGGACGGAGAAGGCUAUGUUGGCCGGGCGACGGUUGUCCCGGUUUAAGCGUGCAGGUGUGUGUUCCAGGUAAAUCCGGUUCACUUUAACACUGAGGCGUGACGACGAGGCACCACGGUGCUGAAGCAACAAAUGCCCUGCUUCCAGGAAAAGCCUCUAAGCCUCAGGUAACAUCAAAUCGUACCCCAAACCGACACAGGUGGUCAGGUAGAGAAUACCAAGGCGCUUGAGAGAACUCGGGUGAAGGAACUAGGCAAAAUGGUGCCGUAACUUCGGGAGAAGGCACGCUGACACGUAGGUGAAGUGGUUUACCCAUGGAGCUGAAGUCAGUCGAAGAUACCAGCUGGCUGCAACUGUUUAUUAAAAACACAGCACUGUGCAAACACGAAAGUGGACGUAUACGGUGUGACGCCUGCCCGGUGCCGGAAGGUUAAUUGAUGGGGUCAGCGCAAGCGAAGCUCCUGAUCGAAGCCCCGGUAAACGGCGGCCGUAACUAUAACGGUCCUAAGGUAGCGAAAUUCCUUGUCGGGUAAGUUCCGACCUGCACGAAUGGCGUAAUGAUGGCCAGGCUGUCUCCACCCGGGACUCAGUGAAAUUGAACUCGCUGUGAAGAUGCAGUGUACCCGCGGCAAGACGGAAAGACCCCGUGAACCUUUACUAUAGCUUGACACUGAACACUGGUCCUUGAUGUGCAGGAUAGGUGGGAGGCUUUGAAGUGUGGACGCCAGUCUGCAUGGAGCCAUCCUUGAAAUACCACCCUUUAAUGGCUGGUGUUCUAACGUGGGCCCCUGACCGGGGUUGCGGACAGUGUCUGGUGGGUAGUUUGACUGGGGCGGUCUCCUCCUAAAGAGUAACGGAGGAGCACGAAGGUUGGCUAAUCCUGGUCGGACAUCAGGAGGUUAGUGCAAUGGCAUAAGCCAGCUUGACUGCGAGCGUGACGGCGCGAGCAGGUGCGAAAGCAGGUCAUAGUGAUCCGGUGGUUCUGAAUGGAAGGGCCAUCGCUCAACGGAUAAAAGGUACUCCGGGGAUAACAGGCUGAUACCGCCCAAGAGUUCAUAUCGACGGCGGUGUUUGGCACCUCGAUGUCGGCUCAUCACAUCCUGGGGCUGAAGUAGGUCCCAAGGGUAUGGCUGUUCGCCAUUUAAAGUGGUACGCGAGCUGGGUUUAGAACGUCGUGAGACAGUUCGGUCCCUAUCUGCCGUGGGCGCUGGAAGAUUGAGGGGGGCUGCUCCUAGUACGAGAGGACCGGAGUGGACGCAUCACUGGUGUUCGGGUUGUCAUGCCAAUGGCACUGCCCGGUAGCUACAUGCGGAAGAGAUAAGUGCUGAAAGCAUCUAAGCACGAAACUUGCCCCGAGAUGAAUCUUCCCUGAGCCUUUAAGGCUCCUGAAGGAACGUUGAAGACGACGACGUUGAUAGGCCGGGUGUGUAAGCGCAGCGAUGCGUUGAGCUAACCGGUACUAAUGAACCGUGAGGCUUAACCUUACAAC